GCGCAGCAGUCGCGAAAACUCCGCAAUGCACGAAAGUGUGACGGGGCUAUCCCGAGUGCUGUCCGCUGAGGACAGCUUUUCCAUGGUGUAAGGAGCCAUGGGAAUAAGGAGAGGGCAAGUCUGGUGUCAGCCGCCGCGGUAAUACCAGCUCUCCGAGUGGUAGGGAUGAUUAUUGGGCUUAAAGCGUCCGUAGCCGGCCUAACAAGUCUCUCGUUAAAUCCAGCGAUCUAAUCGCUGGACUGCGGGAGAUACUGUUGGGCUAGGGGGCGGGAGAAGCCGACGGUAUUCUCGGGGUAGGGGUGAAAUCCUAUAAUCCCGGGAGGACCACCAGUGGCGAAGGCGGUCGGCAAGAACGCGCCCGACGGUGAGGGACGAAAGCUGGGGGAGCGAACCGGAUUAGAUACCCGUGUAGUCC
rnacentral:rRNA from 1 species